rnacentral:misc_RNA from 1 species
AACGCACAUUGCACCCCUAGGUAAUCCUUGGGGUAUACCUGUUCGAGCGCCGUUUACAAUCUAAAGCCGUCUCUUUUUGAGACCGCUUUGCGUUGAUGCUACCUUUUAGCGAAGGUUCAUCUAAACUCAUUGGCGUUUAGUUUUGGCCCAAAUCGCAGCAAAAAUGUGAGAUGAGCCAAACGAACCGAACAGCCUGUUUCUAUGGCUUCUAAAGUCAUUCAAACAUGGCCUCGAAUCAGGUAGGGAUACCCGCUGAACUUAA